UCACAUACAAUACCGAAGAUAAGGACAGAGUUACCCUCCUUCUUCGCGACCGGAGAAGAUCGGCCUUCAAACAACAGAGAAACCCUAGGUAUAAAACCCUAGGUGUAACCUUGGAAAUCCUUACUGGAAAUGUGGUCAGGAACAUCGGAGAGGCACCCAAAAUGUCCACUGAGUGAGAAUCGAGCCACCGAAAAGCAGUAGAACCCUAGGUUAAACCACCAGAAACCCUAGAAGCCAAUAGGUCACCGAGAAACCACCCAAAAUCAGCAGAAAAACUCUCAGAAUGUUCGGGUGAAGAGAAUAUAAUCAAAUAUCAUGACGAAAUACUCGGAAAAACAUCCUAUCUAGGUCAAAACCAUCAUCGACCAUAAGGUCUCAGAAAAGCCCUAGAAAAUCUCAAAAAGAGUUCAACCAAGACAACGAGAUGUAGAGAAAUAUAAUCGGAUCGUCGUCUAGGCUCUGAUACCAUGUAAACGUUGAUAUUAGACCGAGAAAUCAUAGAAACUGUAGAGAGAGAAAAUAGAGCGUUUGGAACUCGCUGGAAUCAGAGAGAAAUAUUAUUACAGAACAAAUGAGAGAAAUAAAAUCCGGUAGGUGAGAAAACUAUCUCACCUACAUAUAUACAUGUUACAAAACAAGAUGUAGAGAAACAUAAUCCGAUCGUCGUCAAGGCUGUGAUACCAUGUAAACACUGAUAUUAGACCGAGAAAUCAUAGAAAUUGUAGAGAGAGAAAGUAGAGAGAAGACAGAGCGUUUGGAACUCUCUGGAAUCAGAGAGAAAUACUAUUACAGAACAAAUGAGAGAAAU
rnacentral:lncRNA from 1 species